rnacentral:rRNA from 1 species
UUUAUUGGAGAGUUUGAUCCUGGCUCAGGAUGAACGCUGGCGGCGUGCCUAAUACAUGCAAGUCGAGCGAAUGGAUUGAGAGCUUGCUCUCAAGAAGUUAGCGGCGGACGGGUGAGUAACACGUGGGUAACCUGCCCAUAAG